UACGUAGGGGGCGAGCGUUGUCCGGAAUUAUUGGGCGUAAAGCGCGUGUAGGCGGACCAUUAAGUCGGCUGUGAAAUCUCUGGGCUCAACCCAGAAACUGCAGUCGAUACUGGUGGUCUUGAGGUAGCUAGAGGAGAGUGGAAUUCCCGGUGUAGCGGUGGAAUGCGCAGAUAUCGGGAGGAACACCAAUGGCGAAGGCAGCUCUCUGGAGCUCACCUGACGCUGAGACGCGAAAGCAUGGGUAGCAAACAGG
rnacentral:ncRNA from 2 species